AUCUGUGGCCACCUCUACAGAUUGAAGCAUCUGGUAAUCAAUAGAUAGAUAAUCUUGUAGGUUUGAGGUGCCAAAUAAAGUGCUAAAUCCAUAUUAAUAAUUUAAAUUUUAGACUUAAAUGUGAGGUCAAUACUGUAUAGGCCUAUAUCUUCUAAACGCAAGACUAGAUACUGUAUAGGCCUAUAUCCUUUAAAUGUUUUUUGUUUCGAUUCCAGAGUCAGUUUACUAGGGCCCUCAGUCAGAGCAUUCGAACUGAGCGUUAUAAACAGAAGAGAAAGAGCAUGCCUCAUGUACAACAUGCUCAUCCAGCCCCCAAAAGAUUUGCUUUGGGUAGGAAGCAGUUUACCACUAUAGAGAAUCAAGAACGUGAGCUGACCGAAGACGAAUUCGUGAGGCACACCAAAGAACUUUGCCAGGAAAUGAAAAAGAAAAAUCUUAACACUGAGCAUAUAAAUAUGCUUUUAACUGCUACAAUGGUGAACCGACAAAAGUGGAUAUCAACACUUCCUGGUGGACUCAUCUCACCAAUAUUGAUGAAGUUCCCUUGCUUCUGGAAGAGCAGUUUUAUCAAAACUGAGAUGGAAAGACUUCUCAAGGAUACCACUGAAAGCUGGAAGACUAAAUUGAACAAGAUAUGUGACACACUGAUUAAGAAGGUUCCCAAGACUGACCAUCAUAGUUCACUGCAUGAAUAUGAUGUAAUUCACUACAUUGAAAAUGAAAUUUCCUUCAAACGAGGAAGAGGUGUGAAGUCUCAGCCAGUUAUCCUGCUAAGAGAAUUGUAUGGUGAUCAAGAUAAAGACUUCAGUAGUGCUGAAAAGUCUCCUCCUCACAUCAUCUUGACUGUUGAAAAUAAAAGCCUGAAGGAUGUAUAUAUCACUGGGGAUGGAUGUACAAUUCCAUGUGAAACAGGUGAUGAUGUGUGUGAUGCAGUAAUCUUAUUGCUUGGGACAUAUUACAUAUUUGACUUAGGGUAUCCAAGGAUUUAUUCACAGAUUUUAGGAUUCCUGCAACAGUAUGUGUUAAAUGAACCAUACACUUUGGAGAAGUCUUCAGGUUAUAAUCAUUUUGUAGCACAGUAUGAAAGGUUGUUGAGAGCAUAGGAGGAUUCACAUAAUGUAAGUUGCCUCCAUCCUCCUUCCUCCCCCUAUCCUUCUAAGAUAAGAAAGAGAUAAGAUAAUUUAUUGGUCACAUUGUUCUACAUAAAUGCAUACAAGUGAAAUUCUUUAUAGCAAAAACAGGCUCCAAAAGUAUUCUACAUAGAUAAGAGUAUAGCACAUAAAAAACAUAAAAGCAUAAUUUUUUUUUAAAAGGUAUUAAAAUUAUUUUUGUGGAUAAAAAUGGUUAAAGAGCACUAUACUGCUUGGGACAAAAGAUUUUCUGUAGCGAUCUGUUUUAAUCAAUGGCAGUGCCAGCCUUCGUCCUGAUCUUAAAAAGUUAUAACAGUUAUUAAGAGGGUGAGUUUGAUCCUGCAUUAUUUUUCCUACUUGUUUUAUUGCUGCCUCUUGAUAUAGAAUAUCUGUGAAUGUUACUGAUGCCCCUAACUUUUUAGCUUUUUUAACUAUUUUGUUCAGUUUAUUUUUGUCUGCUAAAGUUAGCCUUUUGUACCAAGUAGAGAUAGAAAAAAUCAAAAUUGACUCAAGGGUAGAUCUAUAAAAUAAGUUGAUUAUUUUCUUGUUUACCUGAACGGAACGUUAUUUAAAAUUCUAAUGAAGUAA